rnacentral:rRNA from 1 species
CCUACGGGAGGCAGCAGUGGGGAAUUUUGGACAAUGGGCGCAAGCCUGAUCCAGCAAUGCCGCGUGAGUGAAGAAGGCCCUUCGGGUUGUAAAGCUCUUUCAGUCGAGAAGAAAAAGCUCGCAGUGAAUAUACUGUAGUUUAUGACGGUAUCGACAGAAGAAGCACCGGCUAACUACGUGCCAGCAGCCGCGGUAAUACGUAGGGUGCGAGCGUUAAUCGGAAUUACUGGGCGUAAAGGGUGCGCAGGCGGUUUUGUAAGUCAGAUGUGAAAUCCCCGGGCUUAACCUGGGAAUUGCGUUUGAAACUACAAGACUAGAGUGUGGCAGAGGGAGGUGGAAUUCCAUGUGUAGCAGUGAAAUGCGUAGAGAUAUGGAAGAACAUCGAUGGCGAAGGCAGCCUCCUGGGUUAACACUGACGCUCAUGCACGAAAGCGUGGGGAGCAAACAGGAUUAGAUACCCUGGUAGUCCACGCCCUAAACGAUGUCAACUAGUUGUCGGGCCUUACUAGGCUUGGUAACGAAGCUAACGCGUGGAAGUUGACCGCCUGGGCGACGUACGGUCG